rnacentral:tRNA from 1 species
GGGGGCGUGGCUCAGAGGUACAGCCUUUGCCUUUCAAAUACAAGAAUCUGGGUUCCAAUCCCCAGCCCCCCCC